AGUGAAUGAAAGCUCUAAAAUGAAAGUUCUACUAUUUGUUUUAGUUAAUAUCGUUGCUUUCGUCCCAGUAUUGAUGGUAUGGCACCCGAGAACGCUUCCACCCCCAUUUCCCCGACAUACUUCUCACAGAUUAUGUCGCGGUGCUUUCAAGUGGCAAAGAUGCUGAGCUAUUACCUUUAACCAAAAAAACCUAAAUAAAUGUUUAGUUAUAUUUGUUAUGAGUAAACUCAACUUAAAAAACUUUUAGCAAAUUCAAUUCAACAUACAACCUUUUUCAAAUUAUUAUUUAUUCGCUUUUUGAUGAAAAAUUAUGAAAAGGCCUGGAGGACAAUUUAAGCCACUGCGAAGGCUAUAUCUUCGCCAAUACUCAUCCGAUUCUUGAGCGGCAUACCUUAAAUGAUUUGUCGAUCGAUUUUGCGAAAAUCUGCAUCAAAAUCUGGAGGGGAAUAAUUUAAUAUAUUUUUUGUCAAAUUUUGUCAAUUCAAUUCAGUUUGUAACUUAUUUCGAAGAAAGCUGUUUUAUGGUUUCUUAAGCUAAUAGUGUCAUUUUUGGCAGUGCCGUUUGCAAUAAUUUCUUAAAACUUUGAAAAAUGUUGAACUUAUAUAAGCCCAUUGAUGUAAAUAAUUUGAUCGUCAAUGAAGCGAAGCUAGUAUAUCCAUAGCAUGUCAAAUAGUUGGGAAGAAUCUUAGCCUGAGGUAAGAUGAAUAUUUAAGCUAUAAUUUCUAAUACUACACUCGGAAAAAAACCAAGAAUUUCGUACUUAAACCAAGUACGAACACACUUGGAAGUCGACCAAGAAUGUACAUGCAUAGUUAGUUCAAGAAAAAAAUUCUUCUGUUGUCAAAUUUAAAACCCACUUUUCUAUCAGUGUAACAACUAACAAAAACGAAGAAACUUUUUAAAUCUACCAACUAGUUGGUUCGCCAAUGCAGCAGUCCUAUAAUAGCCAUAGCAUGACAAAUAGUCGUGAAUAAUCCUAUCCCAGAAUAAAAGGAAUAUAUAAAGCAAACUAUUAUGAUACUUCCGAUCAAGAAUGAAGAAUUUUAAUAUAUUGUUACUUGUGGCUUAUGCCAUAAUGGUGGCAAUGGUGUCAUCCGAACGUAUGACAUGGCUUAAAACACUGUCACCAUGGAGACCGAUGUGGCGUCCUAUGACUUCGGCUCGUCACAAGUGGUGCCGACUUAAUCUGGGCCCUUUGUGGGGUGGACGAUGCUAACCAGAGGCAUAACAUGCUUGGAAAAUAGUUAUCGAAAAAUUUUAGUAGAGCUGCUUCAAAAAAUUAUACAUUCGUUCAAUCACUGAGAGAAACGCAACUUAAAAUGGCUUCAAAUCUUAAAAUGGUAAUCAUAUCAAAGUGAUUACGAGAAAACCAAUAUUUUAUAAUAUUAUAAUAAUAUAAUAUGGAAUAAUAAUGGAAUAAUAUUAUAUCCAAAGAUCCGAUCGCACUCAGCUAUAAAAUCGAGAAAAAAUUAGUGUAUACAAAUUUUAAAUUUCAAAAUUCGAUGUACUAUUUUAAUUAGUCACAAACACAAAUUGUGUCGUAAUGCUUUCUAGUGGCGUAGAUGCUAUGUUAAUAAAGCUAUAAUUUCCACAGCA